rnacentral:rRNA from 1 species
CCUACGAGGGGCAGCAGUGGGGAAUAUUGCACAAUGGGCGCAAGCCUGAUGCAGCCAUGCCGCGUGUGUGAAGAAGGCCUUCGGGUUGUAAAGCACUUUCAGCGGGGAGGAAGGCGGUGAGGUUAAUAACCUCAUCGAUUGACGUUACCCGCAGAAGAAGCACCGGCUAACUCCGUGCCAGCAGCCGCGGUAAUACGGAGGGUGCAAGCGUUAAUCGGAAUUACUGGGCGUAAAGCGCACGCAGGUGGUCUGUCAAGUCGGAUGUGAAAUCCCCGGGCUCAACCUGGGAACUGCAUUCGAAACUGGCAGGCUAGAGUCUUGUAGAGGGGGGUAGAAUUCCAGGUGUAGCGGUGAAAUGCGUAGAGAUCUGGAGGAAUACCGGUGGCGAAGGCGGCCCCCUGGACAAAGACUGACGCUCAGGUGCGAAAGCGUGGGGAGCAAACAGGAUUAGAUACCCGGGUAGUC